UGUAGUUAAUGAUUAUAGUUCAGCGUCUAGAUAUCCCUGCUAUGUCAAAGUCCUUUGAAAUACAACCUGAGCUGCAGAUUUACGACCAUCAAACUGCAUCUUUAUUCCAAUGUGAAACAGAGCAAGAGCCGUGCAGAGCAGCUAUCUGGAGGAGCAGGAUGAGGGAGCAGCAAUGAGGAGCAUGAAAGCAGCAGCCUUCUGCAGGAGGGCAGCAGGCUCUGGACUGCACCAUGGCAGAGGGCAGCCCCGUCCCCCUCCCACAGCCCCCACACCGUGUCCUGAGCCAGGACUGCCCUGCUCCUGCUGUGAGCACAGCUCCCUGCACUUGCACGUUUGAAUAAACAACUAUAUUGGGUUAAAAAGUGACCAGAAACAUGCUGGUGGGGUCAUACUCCAGCCGCCACCACUUGCCCUCCUCCAUCCCCACCUGAAACCGCAGCCCCGCUGAUGGCAGCUCGGGUCCUCAAGGGGAGCCCUGACCUCUCGUCCACCCAGCUGAGCCUAAUGAGAUCCAGCUACUACACGAAACAGCAAAUUAGCUCUUUUCCCACUGCCCAGACCACUUGAUUCUCAGUUGCAGAGAGGCAGGAGCAGUCCCUGGUCCUCGCAGGGCUGGGCUCAGCACCACGCAGCAUCGCUGAGCUCUGUGGAUGGAGCUGGAGCUGCCGUGCUGCCUGCAAGCCACGUGUGAGCCAACCCUUCCCUCCUCAGGUCGAGUUAGAACAAGACCAGAUUGCUCCCAGUAAAGCAAUCAGCCCAGACCGCCUUCACAAAGCCCACAGACGUUUUGCACUCGUUCUUUUUGCAAAGAAACUAAGCUAGAAAUUAAAGACAUCAGAAUUUCUUCUCCGAUAGAAAUUAGAGAGCUCUUCGGGGGGGACGGAGGGGGGUCUUACUCCCCACCCAGACUUUUUUCUCUGUAUCAGCAACAACUCAAGCCCCCCCCUCAAUAAGAUGUUUGCAAACAUUGCUGUUGGGUUGCCUGCAGGAUGAGUGGUCUGAGCUCAGACAUUUUCUGGAUACCUUGGCAAAACACACGAGCAGAGGCUGACUGCAAAGCAGCAACCGCGCUGCUCCCGCUAGGAACAUAAAUAAUUUGGGACUACACAUUUCUUUCUUAAUGCACAGCCUCUGUUCCCAAUUAGGGAAGGCCAAUGGCUGUCAAAGGCUUUCCCUCCCCAACAGCAGGGACGGGGGCAGCAGUUUGGUGACAGCACCGCGGGGCUCAUCUCAUGCACAGGUGUUGGCAGCGCUCGGACAUGCCAACCCACCCAUUUCCCAUCCUGUCCCUCUCAAUUAUUGUGGUUUAGGUACAGCAGAACUAGGAUACCUCUCUCCCAUUGCUUUUUUUUGGUUUACUUUUGGUUUUUGACCCCCUACCCAGCAGCACACCCUGAUGCUGCCCUGGCACCGUGUCCACGGCACUGCAGCGGCACCGACCAGCACAGGAAAGGUGCCGCAGGGCUGCACACCGAGCCUAACCACAUCUCCAAACAGCACCACUUCCCCUUCUGGGGGCUAAAACCUGGAUUUCUGAGAAAAAAUGCAACAUUUCAGAGCAGCAAGAAUCAAGUAAUGCAGCCAUUAAUAAGGAUUUCCAGACAAAUCUGACUGGAGAGAUAAUGGGCUUAAACAAGUAGAAAAAAAAAAAAAAAACAGUUUCUGCACCAGAAUAUUUUUCUUGUUGUAUUCACUGUAAUUAUUUUCUAAACGUAGAUCAUUUUAUAUGAUGCAGGCAGCAGUGUUCCAGAGCUAAUCAGGCCAUAUGUUUUCACAUUUUGAAAGGAAAACUAAUUAAAAAGAAAUGAAAAAGGUUGGUAAGGAGGGCUGUAGGUUUGGGUCAGAGAGGAGCGGUGAAGGAAUCCUUCAGGAAUGUAUACAUUCACUCUGCUCUGCGUUUUGUUUUCAGAAUUGUUUCUGGCAGAAACCUAAAGAAAAAUAUGAACCAGAUGUACAAGGAAAUAGUUUCUUCAUCAGAGAGAAGAAUAGUGCUCUGUCUGCCAGGAGAUUUUGGCCUUUACAUUUUAGGAAGGUGAUGUUAAAAAUACCCUUCGAAGGUGGCUUCUCCUUCGGCAGAGCCCAGGACGUCCCAGCCAGGGAGGAUGAGCAGCAGCUGGGAGGGACGGAGGGCUGCAGGGGGCACGGACAGCUGAGUGAUUUCUCUUCCAUCGCCUCAUCUCCUCCAUCUGCCACCAACCUGAGGACACCGCUCCUCUCCCACCCACUCCAGGGACGCUGGUGCUGGCAGCUGCUCCACACCCUGAUGGAUAACCAGGGGCCCUGUGUGCCCACACCACAACCAGGGGCCCCGUGUGCCCACACCGCACAAGGUGACAGCACAAAUCAUCUCUCUGCUGCCAGAGAUCUUCCCCCACUGCCGUGCCACAAGAGGAAAGUACCCGGAAAGGAGCCGGUGUGCUCAUCACAGCGAGGAGCCCAGUCCCCAAGGAGGGGAGGAACUGAAGACAGAGGGGUGGGGAGAGGAAAAAUAUACAUAUAUAUUAUAUACAUAUGCAUUCCCUCUGCUCCAAAAUGCUGCCUUCUGAUGGAAGCAGCAGCAGACAAGGGAGCAGGUGCUGUGGUGCUGCCGUACCCCAUCCCGGGAUGGGGGCACCCCACAGGAACCGACCCACGGACCCCAAGCCCCUGCAGAGGUCAAUGGCUGGGAAUGGGCAGCUUAAGUGGGAGUUAAUUAGGACUGGAAGAGAGCAAGGGAGAGCGAGCAGGGAACUUUAAUCUCAUUAAAUACACCUCGAGGCUCCAA